AGACGAGAUGAAAGAGGAUAAAAGAGGUUAAACGCUUUCACUUGUGAGGAGCUUCCCCCCCCCCUCACACACACACACACACACGCGCACACACCAUCUUUCUGAAUCCUGCUGCUAUGAUGAUGACCACAGUCGUUCUCGCAGCGUUUUUAUUUUGGGGGGGGGGGCGCCAUGACGCACGCAGUUUUUUGUUCUCUUCCGUAUUUUUUAUUUAUUUUUUUGGGGGGGGUCAGACUGAGAGACUGCAAAUUAAUACACGCCUCCUUUUUUUAGUGAGCUUUGGACGAGAGCACACGACGAACUGGGAAAAAAACAAGGAUGCAUAAGUUCUGCCCUGAAGAGCCGCCGGUAACCCAAAAGUUUCUCCACCGGGAUCCAUGUUUGCAGCGCAUUUUUUCCAGAUGGAUUACAACCGACAUUGUUGGGCCACGUCUUGGCCACACAAGUACGAUGCUGAUGCAGGACAAAACGUGUGAUCGCUGACUCGUCGCCAGCACGAGCUAUCGCGAGGGGCGCGUCCGUCCCUCUUGGCCGAGGUGGACCCGCACGCCGAGAGGUCCGAACGCCACCGGGUCCGCCGCACUCCCCCCUCUGCCCGCUCGUGCUCAGCAGAAGCUUUCCUGCCGCUCCUCGUCGCUUUUCUGCUGCUCCUGCCAGACACGAUGAGGCCCAACUUGAACUCAAAGGCUCAGCCCGCGGGAUGGAGGUGGCCCGGAGCUGAGAUUGCGGGCCCAAACCGGGAGAUGGAAGAAGAAGACGAAGAAGAUGAGGGGGAAAGACGGACUGAGAAGGAAAUCGGCCUGGCUCGGACGGAAAUUCCACAUUCUCAAGACGGGCGGGUUGACUUCUAACGUCAUCAAGAGGCCCAAAGCUGUGAAGUCGGGCGCUGACGCGCCCUCUGUCGAUGCCGGCUGACCUCUGCUGGUUUGUUAUUGUCAAAGUUCCCAUUGGGGGGAAAAACAACCAGUGGAAAAACAGGUUCGCGUCGACGUUCCGCCACGAGGUCCCCCCACCGUUGUCAUACGGCAGAGGAGGUGACAAACAGAACACCGAGUGGGGAGUCGCAGGACAGCACAGGCUAGUUUUGACUUUGAACCAGUUCUGUUUCUCUUUGGGUUCAUUUUUUUUAAUUUGAGUUGCAAAAAUAAUGCACAAUUCCUUCGAGACGGAUUAACAAAUCUGGCAUCUAACACCAAAUGAUCAACAACAUGUAGUCAGACAUUGUAACUGUAUUCAAGGGUGAAAAAUGAAUAAUAAUACUACGGCUGAUGAGUGCUUAUGUACAGGUAGGUGCAUCUCAAUGAUUGAUAUGGUCAAAAUUUUCAUUUAUUUCUGAAUUGCUAUAGCACAGAACUCACCUGGGAAAUUAUUGUGAGGGCAAAUUUCAGCCUAGUUUUUACAUUAAAAAUAACUUCCAUUGUCCUUAUUUUUGUUGUCCAAUAUUGAACUUUCUGGAUAUGGCAAAUUUGUAUUUGUUGUAAGGUUGAAUCAUCAAAAUUCUACAUAGAUUGCAAAAAAAAAAAAAAAAAGUGAAGUGUACAUAUCUUGAGUUUCAGUUUUGAAUUGAACUAACUGAAUUAACUUUAUGACACCAAUUUAAUCAUGUCCCUGUAUAUACAUACGCAUGAGUGCACUGCCCCCUAGUGGCGAAUGCACGCACUCCACUAGGAGCUGCACAAUUAAUACAUGAAAUCGUGAAUCACAAAACUAUUUAAAUAUUUACAUUUAAAUUCAGUAUUUUUUCCAAGUCACAUCUUUAUAUUGAAACCAUAAAUGCAGGAUUUCUUGGAUGCCAGUGAUCCCGUGCUGGCUAGUCCUGCUUGUUCAACACACGGGGCGGCGUCUUAAAUUAUCUAAUAAAUGUGACGUGUGUACAGUAAAAAAAUGUUUUUGUGUGUCAAAGCGGGCGAGCAGCGCGAAUCCCAGGAAGAAGCCAACGUUUGCCAGACUGUCCUUUGGGGUGAGGUAGUAGGUUGUAUAGUUUUAGGGUCACGCCCUUCCUGUCAGAUAACUAUACAACUUACUGUCUUUCCUGAAGUGACCGUAAUGUCGUCUGAUCGAUUGGACGCCCGCAUGACCGCCCCGUGACGUCCCCUAAGCUUCGGCGCCCCCGUUUAGCGACUUUGCACUCAGCGGCCCGUUUCGUGCCGGGGCGUUGUGACGUCCCGCGAGACCUUCGUGAUGUUCGUACGGGGUGAGGUAGUAGGUUGUGUGGUUUCAGGGUAGUGAUGUUGCCCAAUCAGGAGAUAACUAUACAACCUACUGCCUUCCCCGAAGGGCAGCGAUACGUCAACAGGGGGACGCUCAACAGGUAAAGUUGUGGAAAUCGUUGCCAUCAUUGGAUUUUGUUUUUGUCUCUUCAAUAAAAGGUUUGAAAAUGAACUUGUUUCUCCACUACUACUACUGGCAAUUAUUGUGUUCUAGUUGUUUUUCCCAAUGGUGGCACGGUGGAUCAGCCGGUAAACUGUUGGCCUCACAGUUCUGAGGUCCCGGGUUCAAUGCCGGCCCCCGCCUGUGUGGAGUUUGCAUGUUCUCACCCGUGCCUGCGUGGGUUUUCUCCGGGCACUCUGGUUUCCUCCCACAUUCCAAAAACACGCAACAUUAAUUGGACACUCUAAAUUGCCCAAAGGUGUGAUUGUGAGUGCGGCUGUUUGUCUCUAUCUGCUCUGUGAUUGGCUGGCCACCAGUUCAAGGUGUACCCCGCCUCCUGCCCAUCUACAGCUGGGAUAGGCCCCAACACUUCCGUGACCCUCGUGAGGAUAAGUGGCUAAAAAAAUAGGUGGAUGAAUAAAUUGUCCCUAGGUGUGAUUGUGAGUGUGAUUGUUUAUCUCAAUGUGAUUGGCUGGCGACCAGUUCAGGGUGUACCCCCCCCCUCCUGCCCAUUUACAGCCGGGAUAGGCUCCAGCAUUCCCACGACUCUCGUGAGGACAAGCGGCUAAGAAAAUGGGUGGAUGGACAAAUUGUCCCUUGGUGUGACUGCGAGUGCGGCUCUUUGUUUCUAUGUGUCCUAGGAUUGGCUGGCAACCAGUUCACUGUGUAUCCUGCCUCUUGCCCGUUGACAGCUGGGCUAGGCUCCAGCACUCCUCUAACCCUCGUCAGGGUGUACCCCGCCUCCUGCCCGUUGACAGCUGGGAUAGGCUCCACCACGCCCAGUGACCCUCGUGAGGAUAAGCGGCUAACAAGAUUGGUGGAUGGAUAAAUUGUCUCUAGGUGUGAUUGCGAGUGCGGCUGUUUGUCUCCAUGUGCCCUACGAUUGGCUGGCGGCCAGUUCAGGGUGUAUCCCGCCUCUUGCCCGUUGACAGCUGGGCUAGGCUCCAGCACUCUUCUAACCCUCGUGAGGAUAAGUGGCUAAGAAAAUGAAUGAAUAAAUUGUCCCUCGGUGUGAUUGUGACUGUGAUUGUUUGUCUCUGUGUGCCCUGCGAUUGGCUGGCAACCAGGUCAGGGUGUACCCCGCCUCCUGCCCGUUGACAGCUGGGAUAGGCUCCACCACGCCCAGUGACCCUCGUGAGGAUAAGCGGCUAACAAGAUUGGUGGAUGGAUAAAUUGUCUCUAGGUGUGAUUGCGAGUGCGGCUGUUUGUCUCCAUGUGCCCUACGAUUGGCUGGCGGCCAAUUCAGGGUGUAUCCCGCCUCUUGCCCGUUGACAGCUGGGCUAGGCUCCAGCACUCCUCUAACCCUCGUGAGGAUAAGUGGCUAAGAAAAUGAAUGAAUAAAUUGUCCCUCGGUGUGAUUGUGACUGUGAUUGUUUGUCUCUGUGUGCCCUGCGAUUGGCUGGCAACCAGGUCAGGGUGUACCCCGCCUCCUGCCCGUUGACAGCUGGGAUAGGCUCCACCACGCCCAUUGACCCUCGUGAGGAUAAGCGGCUAACAAGAUUGGUGCAUGGAUAAAUUGUCUCUAGGUGUGAUUGCGAGUGCGGCUGUUUGUCUCCAUGUGCCCUACGUUUGGCUGGCGGCCAGUUCAGGGUGUAUCCCGCCUCCUGCCCGUUGACAACUGGGAUGGGUUCCAUCAUUCCCGCAACCCUCGUGAGGAUAAGCGGCGAAGAAAAUGGAUGGACGGGUGUUUUUCACCAUUGACUCCUUCCAAAGCCUUUUUCAACGUAUUUUGUGUAUUAUCGGUACAUUAUUACCGACUAAAUGUGAUUCGUUUUUCUCCCACAAGACAAAUUCCAAAUUCACAAUUGAGCAUUCGGUGAAUGAUGAAAAUGUGAACAUUAAUGACAAGUUUCCAAAAUGACUUUGGUUCCAGAACCGGCCGUUACUGACUUGCAUAUUCUGUGGCAAAUGGAGCUCUCCUGUGGGGGGAAUAGAGAUGCUUAAGCAUUUUAUAGUAGCAUAAACAAAAAAAAAAAUGUCUUGGUUUCGAAAUUGUGGUAGGCGGCCGCCGGGAGGAAGUACCGGUAGCGGCAGUAAUGAACUGAUCAGCAGUCAACGUUUAAAGAAGCGCUCACAUUGACGCCUUGGGACAAUUGAGUCUUUAAACCUGUCCUGCGUGUUUUUGGAGUGUGUGAGGAACCCAUCGAAAAAAACAACACAAGCAUUGGGAAGAAAAGGGGCCAAAGAUUCAAACCCAGCAUCUCGACUGAGGCCAACGUGUUAACCUCGACUCCACUGGCUUGCAUUGUAACCAAAAGAUAAAAUUAUAAAGGUAAUGUACUUGCUGUAAUAUCACACAGCUGAAAGCGGUCAAAUACAGUGAAGAAAAUAAGUAUUUGAACACCGUCCUGUAACCAUGUGCAGAAAAAUACCCCCAAAGCACGAUGCUACCACCCCCAUGCUUCACAGUAGGGACGGUGUUCUUGGGAUGGAGCUCAUCAUUCGUCUUCCUCAAAACACAGUUAGUGGAAUUAUGACUAAAAAGUUCAAUUUUUGUGUCAUCUGACCACAAAACUUUCUCCCAUGAUUUUUCUGUCAUCCAAAUGGUCAUUGGCAAUCUCAAGACGGGCCUUGACAUUUGGACUAACAGGUCUUUGAGGGUCAGAAUUCUCGCUGAUAAGACAGGUGUUCAAAUACUUAUUUACAGCUGUAUCACACAAAUAAAUUGUUAAAAAAAAUCAUACAUUCUGAUUUAUGGGGUUUUCUUUUUAGAUUAUCUCUCUCACAGUGGACAUGCACCUACGAUGAAAAUUUCAGACCCCUCCAUGAUUUCUAAGUAUGAGAACUUGCAGUAUAGCAGGGUGUUCAAAUACUUUUUUUUUUUUUCACUGUAUCUAGCAAACUUGGUACUUCACAGAAGUGUUUUUAAAAGGGCCUUCAAAAUUUGAACGAAAAAGACCCAACCCUGUGCAGGCGUUGACAUUUUGGAUGACCUCGCAGUCAAGGGACCUGUUGAGCUCGUUAGCUUGCAGGUUAGCUAAUGAACAAGUGUUUUGCAGCUGUGGCGUAUCGGACGGCGCCAAGGCCAAGAAUACAUGAGCCCACUUUUACGGAUUAGCUUAGCUACUAGUAGCUGCUACUUCGCAGUGGCGCCAUCCAGUUUUUUCUGAGCCGCUGAUCCUCACAAGGGUUGCGGCAGUGCUGGAGCCUAUGGGUCACUACAACUGGAGCUCAAAUAAUAGCUCCAAGAUGUACUUGUGAUAAAAAUGUGUCAGGCUAAAUUCUCAACACGCAGUCCCGGUGGAGGGCCUCAAACGAGAAAGUGCACAUCCAGCCUGCUAAAUAAAAAUAGCAGCUAACUGCGUUUUAAGCUACGUGUGGCACGUGCAAGUUUCCAGCACUCAAAAACUACUGGUUCAACUUAAAUGACCUACGUAACGUGUAAAACUUUCUGGAAAUUGUAUUUUUAAAAAGGGGAAGGAACAGCUGAGGUGUAAUUGCACAAGUGUGCACACCCUCGAGCAACUAGGUGUGGCUCUGUUCAGAAUGCGCCAACCUCUUUCAACUGCCACCGUUUCAAGUGCCUCUGAUUAACCCCAAAUAAAGUUAGGUCGUCUUGGCGGGCGUUGGGACAGGAAAACACCCGCAGACACCACAUUGAAGCGAUUUAAGUCUGAUGAUGAGACAACGGCCCGAGUGUGCAUCCUGUCUACCAAGUCGUCUGGAGGGCAUCCUCGGGUAAACGUCGGCAUCCGCUUGGUGGGCUUCAUUACCUCAACGUGAAGCCGGGAAGGAUGAAAAGCCGUCAAUUGGUCUUUGGCGUCGGGCAAUCAAGGAGAGCAGCGAUCAAAUAUUAAGACGGCGGAUUUGAUUGAAAACACUCCCAAUGAUGAAAUAAGUACACGAGACGUUCAUAUAAAGUAGAUUCAAAAAUAGAAUACAUGGAAAUUUGUAUUUCUUUGGAUUAUUGUGUAUGAAUAGAAAUUCUAGGCUGAUGGAGAACGCCAUCUAGUGCAUACUUGCUCAACGAUUAUUGUAAUUUUUUUUUUUUUUUUGUCGCGGGCCACAUGUCAGUUACGAUUUCCAUAAGAGGGCUGUUAUUAAUGUGAAACCAUGAAAAUCUUUUGCCUCAUCAGAUUUACACAUGCUAGUUUCGGAAUCAGAAAUCAAAGGGUAAUGGGUUUUUGAACUAUUGCUGAUGUUUGAGCACACGAUAAUGCUUGCAAUAUCUCAAUAUUAUCAGAAUUCGAUUUAAUACCCAAGUGUGUAAAAACACACACGACACACAGAACAAGGAACAACAUAGCGACUAAAACAAAGAACAAGAGACAUUUCUCUUCAUAGGGACUAUACCUUAUUCAUAAAGUCACAAUUUGAAAUUUUGCGACAAGAUUUUAAUACAAAUCAUGGAAGUGGAUACUCAUAAUUUGCCUUCGCAGGCCACAAAAUCAAGCAGUGCGCCAGAUCUGGCCCACGGGCCUUGAGUUUGACACCAGUGAUGUAAGUUAAGACACUGCUGAAUAUACCAUUAUUAUUAUUGUUAUUAUUCUCAAUGGCCUUUUUUGUAAGUGUGGAUUGAAUUGAGGUCUCCAUAUAUAAAAAAAAAAAAAACAUUUAAUAAAAAAAAUUUAAAGAAUUGAAAAAAGGUAGCCAUUUGUCCCUAUUGCUAAUAUGACUAGUACUGUUUAUGAUAAUAAACAAAAUGAAUAUUAUUGGAUGGUCACUUUUAACACUGGAGGUGAUUAAUUUUGUGCACUAGUAUUUAUUAAUACCAUGAAUUUUUGCACUACUGAUAGUUUUGUUGUUGUUUUAUUGUGCAGAAGUAGCAAAAUCUCGGGUUUGCAGUUUCCAUUUUGCAAUGGCAGUUUACCAUCGCUAGAUGGCAGCAGCGAUCACUUUCUGUUUCUCUUAAGUCGUCUCACCCCCUUUUGGUCCACUUGUGUGUACUGUACACGCUUCCUACGUACUACUUGACAAUGAAAAGAAGCUGUGUGGAAAGAAGUAGUAUUCUGAAACACAAAACACUUUGAAUACAGCAUAUGCUUAUAAGCUCCAGUCAUAAAUACUAGUUAUUGCUGGAAUAUUAUCAUCCAAUAUGUGAAAUCCUUUAUCUACUUUGAUCAUGUUAGACUUUACCGGUGCUUGGUAUACAUAUUACUGUAUGCCCUAGCAUGCUACCUGGAGGUGCCGAAAGGGUGUGGCUAACAUCUUCCAGUUUUUGGACCACCUCGUGUUCAGCUGCCCUUGGUUCCAAUUCUUCAGAAAUGGACGUUUUGGCUGUGAUGGUUAUGCAGAAGACACGCAGUUAUGUAUAUCUAGCAAUGUCUUCAGAUGAUUACCUUGUCUCACUCCUUAACACAGGUCAUUAAGUGGUGGAUCUGAACUUUUCUUCAGCUAAACCACAACAAAACUGAUUGCUCUUAGUAUAUACCUGGACUCACUACCUUUAAAAACCAAUGACCAAGUCUGAAACUUGAUGUUCUGAUAGAUUCCGACCUGACUUUCAUCAGUUAUAUCAAAUCAAUUACUAAAACUGCCUUUUACUAUAUGAAGAACAGAUCCAGAGUGAAGGCUUGUGUCUGUCAAGUCGACUUGACUGUUGUAAUGGUCUUCUGAAUGGACUCCCCAAAAAGAGAACACAGUGGUCAGAGCAUCUAACUCCAAUUCUAACUUCCUUACACUGGUUUCCAGUCAGCUUUACAAUAUCCAUCCAUUCAUUAUCUGAGCCGCUCAUCCUCACAAGGGUCACACGAGUGCUGGCAGCCUAUCCCAGCUGUCAUCGGGCAGGAGGCGCGGUACACCCUGAGCUGGUUGCCAGCCAAUCGCUGGGCACAUGGAGACAGACAACAGUCGGACUGAAGUGGCAAUUUAAAUAAGCAGUGUGGAGGGAAACAAGCUAAACGUUGCUCUUGGAUUUGUUCCUGCCCGAAUGAUGAAAAUGUGGCUUUGCUAUCUGUCGGGCGAGGUGGAUAUGUUUGCAUUUAUUUCAUACAACCCUGACAGUGGGUCGUGCGGUGAACUCUGGCUUUCCGGUCUGCAAAUGCUCAACAACCCGCUGACCUAGCAGCUACGCUGGGAUUUGCCUACCGAUUGCUUAGCAAAGCUGCUUCUCCUGCAUCCCAAAGGAGCUUCCUUUUCCUAGUGAAACUCAUCAGUGCGGCAGUAGUAAGGCACAGCGAUUUGAGUAAGUAACUUCAGAGAGAUUACUGGUCUGGAAAUAGUGACAACACCUUAGAUUAGUCAUCACCCCCCAAAAGUGGUCAUAUCUGUAAUGUGUCGUAAUUUCAUCAAAGCCUCCUGGCAUGGAUGUUAGCAUUAUUAAAAUUUUCAUUUUGUGGGCCCGAUGUUUAAAACGGUUCUAAAGAUGUCGAUUUGCCUCUUUGGGACGAGCGCACGUGCCGAGAUGCCUCAACUUGCCGGUGUUGAGUAAAGCUUUGCAUAAUCC